rnacentral:lncRNA from 11 species
GGGAUUUUCUACCAAUAUUCUGGGUUAUAUGGCUGUCUGGUAGGGCCCCUAAUCCUGUCUGGUCUUAGAAGCUAAGUAGGAGUAGCAUAUAAAAGAGAAAGGGAGAGUCAUCCUAUAAAUGAAAAAGGCCAAGUCUGACCCACAGCAGGCCAUUUUCCUUUCUCUGCCUAUGGUUCAUGCUGAAGACAUGCCGGGGACCGGAAGCAAGCCGCCAGCUCGGGGUCCAAGGCUCCCUCCGACGCCCUGGCCGAUCUCCACGGACUGUCAGUUCCAGCCUCCUCAUCCUAGAAGGGAGAAAAGCGGCCAAGGGCGCCUAACAAAGCAAAGGAGACACUUGCUUCAGAGGGUGGAAGGAGCCGGAGAAGCUUCCCUGUCCUCGCUGUGGCCAACGUGGGAGGACUGGUGUCGCCGCCGACAGGCGAGUCUGCGCAGUCCGGCGGGGGCCACGCGACCCCUUCCCCUAUGUCUUCGUGGCGCAGUCCCGCCCACGCGGGCGAGACAGGAGCCGGACUGGCGGACUUGCGUUUGAUUGACUGGCACGCAAAGCUGCCCCAAGGCAGGCAGAGAACCAGCAGAGGGUCGCCUUUGGAUGUACGAAGCCGAAGGGCACCCCAAUGAUGACCUUCGAAGGAGUUGCAGAGAAAUCUAAAUGGCACCUCCUCCCUGUCCAAGACUGUGAACAGCAGCGACAAUAAUAGUAUCAUGACUUUAUUUUUGAGUUUUAUACAAAUGCCCUUAGCUUCCAUUACAGUCCGGGCCCUUCCACACAGCCAUGUAACCCAGAAUAAUAAGACAGACAAUCCCACAAUAUCUGCUUUGAACUGGUUAUCUGAGGCCCCUUCCAGACAUGCCCUCUAACCCAGGAUCUGAUUCCAGGUUUUCUGCUUUAAAUUGGAUUAUUUGACUCCACGCUGCCAGAAAGACAGAAAACCUGGAAUCAGAUUCCAGGAUUUAGGGCCUGCCUGGAAGGGCCCUGAGUCUACACUGACAUAUAACCCAGUUCAAAGCAGCAAAUACAGGAUUUAAUUCAGCUGUGUGGAAGGGGUCUCAGUUGGUACUAUUUUCCUCUGUGUGGUUUUAUUUCAAGUGGGGUUGACUCACAUUAUCAUGGAAAUGAAAUACAGGUUUGGCAUCUCUUACUUGAAAUGCUUGGGAUCAGAAAUGUUUUGGAUUUCUGAUAUUUUCGCCAUGGUUUUGCAAAAUCUGUAUUUGCAGAUAUUUACCUUAUGGGAUAUCUUGGAGAUGGAACCCCAGUCUAAACAUAUAGGCCCCUUCUACACUGCCAAAUUAAAUCCAGAUUAUCUGCAUUGAACUGGAUUAUAUGGCAGUGUAGACUCAUAUAAUCAAAUUCAAAGCAGAUAAUGUCUAUUAUCUACAUUGAUAAUCUGGAUUAUAUGGCAGAGUAGAAGGGGACAUAGCCGGAAGGCAAUUUUAUAUGCACUCUUUUAAUAAUUUUGUGCAUGACACAACGUUUGUGGGCACUGGAGCAACAGAAAGGGAAAAUGUCACUAUCUCAGGCCCCUUCCACACAGCUGAAUAAAAUUCCACAUUUUCUGCUUUGAACUGGAAUAUAUGGCAGUGUAGACUCAGAUAGCCCAGUUCAAAGCAGAUAGUGUGGGAUUUUCUGCCUUGAUAUUCUGGGUUAUAUGGCUGUGUGGAAGGGCCCUGGAUCUACACUGCCAUAUAAUCCAGAUUAUCAAAGCAGAUAAUCCACAUUAACUGCUUUGAAUGGGAUUAUAUGAGCCCACACUACUGUGUGCAAGGGCCCUCAGGUACCCAUCUGGACCAUUUCAAACUCUGGAAGAUUAUGGAAUUUUGGAUAAGGGAUGCACAAUCUGUACUUGGAUCGAAACCAAACGAUUUUCACUCAAGAAAGUGUCACAAAGGCCCCCUUCCACACAGCUGUAUAAAAUCCACAUUGAAUUAAAUUAUAUGGCAAUGUGAACUCAAGCAACCCAGUUCAAAGCAGAUAUUGUGGAUCAUCUGCCUUUAUAUUCUGGGUUAUAUGUCUGUGUGGAAGGGCCCAAAAAGUUUUUUUUAAAAAUGGGAAUCAAAUGAUUUUUCUAUCCCAUCCUAUUUUGUUACAGUCAUCUUUAUUAAAUGUGGGUUCCAUCAAUAGCAAACACUGGGAGACUAAACCAAAGUUUGCUAGAUACCUUGCAAAUACAGUUUUUGGACCAGGGCUAUUUCAUUGUGAAGAAUUUUAAAACUGGCAUAUGAGCACAACUGCAUUAUAAUUUUCAAUGUGUUAUCGAAGGAUUCCAUGGGCAGAAUCACUGGGUUGCUGUGAGUUUUCCAGGCUGUAUGGCUAUGCUCCAGAAGCAUUCUCCCCUGACAUUUCACCCACAUCUAUGGCAGGUUUUUAUAUCUGUGGAAUGUCCAGGGUUUGUUUGUUUGAGGCAAGUGUAAAUGUUUCAGGAAACAGCCAGGUUUUGAAGCUGCAAUGCUAAUCAAAACAAGGCAGCCAAUUGCAACAUUCACACUUGCCUCAAACAGACAAGAGUUCUUUCUCCCACCCUGGACAUUCCACAGAUAUAUAAACCCCAUUGAUUUAGUUUCUAACAGUGAAUGCGUGCCAUAGUUGUGGGCAAAACGUCAGGAGAGAAUGCUUCUGGAACAUGGCCAUACUGCCCGGAAAACUCACAGCAACCCAUUAUAAUUUUCCUCUUUCUUUUCCUUAUGCUGAUUGAACAGUAUUCAUAAGAUCUUAACAUCAUAAAAUGCUCAAGUCUCCCUUUGUCAGUUAUAAAUUUGCCUCUAAUCCUUAAUGUAAAAGGGCAAGUAGCAAGUCCCCUCUUCCCAAUUUUAUAUUUUUAUAACAAGCCAAUAAAAGACUGAUAAGAAU